GAAACAUUUUCUGAGUUGUACUUCCUCCAGUCCAGCAGUUAUGUCCUGAUGCUGUUGUGAGGAAAACACAAUGGAAAACUUAAGCAAUGCAGAAAUGUAGAAUGAAGAUUUAAAGAUGGAAAGGAUCUCUGUGGUGGGUGAUCUUCAGUCAAGUCUGACUCUUCGUGACCCAAUUUGGGAUUUUCUUGGCAAAAGUCCUGGAGUGGUUUGCCAUUUUCUUCUCCAGCUCAUUUAAAGAAGAGGAAACUGAAGCAAAUAGGAUUGUGACUUGCCUUGGAUCACACAGCUAAUGGUUGGAGCAACAGAUCUAGUGAAAAUGCUCAUAUUAUAGCAGAUGUUCCUGAAAUCAUAUUAGGGAGACUGGCUGCUUCCUAACUGUGUGAUGACCAACAAGCCACAUAAUCUCCUUUGGCUUCAGCUUCCUCACCUGUAAAAUGAAGAUUUUGGAAUCAAUGGCCAUUGAAAUCCCUUGCAGCUCUAGAUUCUAUAAAUGUGAUUUGUUACUUUGUAGACUUGUUGAUGGCAAUGCUACAUCAAGAGAAAUGAUCUGUAUAAUUGAUGGAUUUAAAAAAUCAAAGUGAUAUAGUGUGUGACCAUAGGCCUAGAAUCUGCAUGGACAAAAAUUCUAUCAGUACUAGUAGCUAUCUGCUAUCUGAAUGUAUCAAAUGCUUUAUAAGUAAUCCUUUGUAUGGAGAAAUAUGAAUGAGGAGCCACCUACAGUUCUUCAUGUUGUUACAAGAAUAAUCUAAUUUAUAUUAAAAAAUUCAUUAAAGGAAAAAUUGGAAAAAAAUUACAUUACAAUAUGAGGGAACACCAUAGGGCAUUAUUAUUACAAAACAUACUGGAUUUCUUGAGCCAAAAUACUUCUAAGGGUGUUUGGGCUUUUUAAAAGAAGAAAUUAACAUUUUUCUUGGUGAUAAUUAUAAAGAUAUAACAAAUUGAUUUUAUAAUAAAAAACUUCCUCCUGAGACUCAUUUAUGUUAGAUACAAUUGAAAAUCUCAAUAUUCUAAAUAUAUCAAUGCAAGGUUCAAGAAAGAGGUAGUGACUGAAUUUUAAAAACAGAGCUGUUCAUAAUAUAUAAUAUUUUGAUGGUUUCCAAUUAAAAAAAUUAUGAUGUUGCAAAUAAAAGAGAAGAAAAUGAAAAUCUGCUUAUUCAUCGCUUGUCUACAUAAAUAAUAUAUUUUAUUUUAAAAUCUAGAUAUUUAAUAACAUCAAAAGAUUAGAAAUCUAUCUACUUGCCAUGGACAAAGAUAAUACAUUUUGUUGCAUUCUGUCUGAUCAAAUUGAUCAGAAUUUAAGUGCUACUAUGUGCUUGGUACUGUGCUAAGGACUGGGGAUUCAAAGAAAGCAACCCCCCCCUCAAAAACUAGUGUACUUCAAAUAGGUCACAAUCUAAUCCAGACUCCUCGUAUGAAAUGUACAAGUUAAAGAGUUCUUUGAUUUAGCAAAUGAAGAUAUAAAAUAUUAUAACCAUUUGUAACAUGUUCUUUGUGUAAGGAUGGGUUGUUUUUUUUUUGGCUAUAGCUAUUAGAAAGACAAAAUAUUGAUCUGAAUUAGUGUUUAAAGAACAGUUAGGGACAUCAAAAUCAUCAAUACCAUGUUUUGAGAAACAUUAUAUGGAAGAAUAAGCCACAUGGUUGUUUUAUAGAUUAUAAAUAUAAAAGCUGCAAUCAGAUUUUUACCAAUAUCAAUGUAUAUACAUACACAUACAUAUUACAUUGUUCUCAUGAAAGUAAAAUGAUAUUAUGUGUGAUUAUUGUACUGGAAUCUGCAGUAAUAAAAUUCCAUCUGUACUAAUUGUUUAAAAUGUGAGCCCUUCUGUUAUAUAGAUAUAUUACAGGAAUUAGAUGUCAGAUGUCUGUUUGUUGUGUCAUAUAAACAAUAAAUUCCUCAUUUUAUUUUUAAAUAAAAUAUAAGCAAAGAAAAUUAUUUGAAUAGAUUGUUUUAGGAAAAGUGGAUGGAGAUAUAGUUUGGAAACCAUUGAUUUGCUGGAUUUUCAUUGCUACGAGCUCCUCUUAUCUUUCUUGAGUUUCUUUCUACCUUGGCUUGAUAUGGGGGGGGAGGUCCUGCUCUUUUCUUUCCUUUUUUUUCUUUUCCCUUACUAGUACUACAUUCGUUACUAGUACAACAUUCAUUUCUUUAUUCGACAAAGAUAUAGGAAGAACCUACUGGUUUAAAGAGCACCAACGGAGCCUUGGAAACUAGGAAUUUGCUAUAAAAUGUCAUGGAAGAUGUAGUAACAGACAGAAAGGGUGACAGGUUUUAUGUGUUGUGGUGUAGGGGAUUAGAAUGUUGUGGUACAACCAAGCCAAGAAGACUGAUCUCCAACAUUUACUACCUGUGAGAUUCCUGUCAAGUCAUUUAAUAACAUAGAGCAUCAGCUUCUUCAUUUAGAGGAUGAGGAUACUGGAUAGCAUCUAAGGUCCUUUCCCACUCUAACUCUUUAAUCCUAAUAUUCAACUAUAGAUAUUAGACCCAUUCUUAGUUUCUUCUCAACUUCUGUUUCAGCUUUCCUGAAUCUGCUUCCCCUCAUGGAAUGCUGGGGAUUAAGGUCAGCAUAUCUCUCCCUUUCUUUCUUAGGUUAUUUCAUCCUAGACCAGAGACUUUUAAUCUUUUUCCCCCUUAAUGUCAUAGACUCCUCUGACAAUAUAAUGCAGAAUAUUUUACACACAGAAAAUGCACUGCGUACAAAAGAAACCAAUAAUAUUGAAAUGGUUAUCAAAAUAUUAAAAAUGACAACAAAAGUCUUGUAGUUCACAGAGGAUAGGUUAAGAGUCACUGCCAAAAGCUACUGACUGUAGAUCAGAAAAGAAAGACUGACUCUUCUCGAUCUGGGACCAAAAGCCAUCCUCCUGUCUCCUGUAGAUUCCAUGGAGUGUAAGGGAGGUAAUGGCAAUCUGAGGGGACUGGCUUUUAUAAGCCAGUAUGUUUAAAAUUCCUAUAUGACUAUGUAGCUCGUGAAUGCAAUACAUGGAAUCAAUGUUCAUUUUGUAGAUCAAGUCUUCCAUUUAUCGCUUUGCCCUGAAACUUACAGUCAGUGAUCUGAAUUUUGACUCUUGUCUAUCUGCCUUUUAGACAUUGUUGUGAAUUCCAAGUUUUGACUCUCCUUCAGCUUCUGGUGUCAUUUCCCCACACUAGGUCUUUCCAGCUCAUUGAACUUUUUGCCUGGUUCCUAUUAUAAAAUGUUUUUAUAAAUGCUGGAACUUCAUUUCUUCUUCCCUUCUUUCCUUUUCCUUGUACCCAUCUUCCUCAUUCCUCAUGCCAGCAAUCAUGGACCCUAUCUACUCCCUGUCUUUGUCAGACUGGUCCAGGGGACAGGUGGAUGGGCCAAUUACAUUUCCCAUGUGGGGUUUCAGUGCUUGAUCCUCUCUCUCCCAUAAUCUGACCCUGCAAGUUCACUUACUUUCUUGGCUUGGCUCUCCUAUUCUUAGUUGCUCUAUCUAAAACAAAUUCUAUUAACUAGGUUCCUCUAGAUAACUUAGGAAUUGAUGGUGAAAUAAAUUCUUCACAAAUCUGAAGCAUCUCCAAGGUUCCUUCCAAUUCCAAAUCAUAGUCAUUAAGAAACUAGGAUCUAAUAUAGAGUUCUUAGUAAUGCUAUUGU